GAUGUAGUUUUUCUAGUUUAGAAUAUGUUAUUUAAAUGUUUUAAUGAACUUUCUUUCUUUCAAAAUAUAGACCAACCAAAUCAAGGAGGACACAUGACAGAUGUAAUAAUAGACCUCUUGCAAAUAAAAGGUUGUUAUAUGGCAUAAUUGACAAUUCUCUGGAUGGGCCUGCUGGGGCAGGUGUCAGCCUAUAUGGACAGACAGUGAGUGGCACCCCCUAACUGCCAACAAGGAAAUGUGGAGCCCAACC
rnacentral:lncRNA from 1 species